CUCUGUUUUCAAGCAACUUGCUUCUCCAUGUAUGAUUUAUGCAGCAUAUACAUCUUGCUCCUCUUUUAUCAGUAGCAAUGGAACUUGAUGAAAUUUAAGUGUCGUGUUGUUCUAGAGAUGCAGGGAGGGAGGGACUUCCAUGGAUUGGACUGCAAGGAUUGGAUGCAAACCAAUGCACAUGAGGAGGAGAGAUGCAAGCCAGGUCAUGACCUAAAGGUCCCUGCCGUGAACCCCUUCCCCUUCCCGUGUAUAAUCAUGCUCAACAAAUACUUGAUAUGAUUUUGGUUAAUCUUCAAUUCAGCCCAGCUAGCUGUUGUAGUACUUGCUUGUCUCCUUCCAAAUGUUGCCCUAGUCCGUUGAGUUUCUUAUUGCUCCAGGUAGUACUGUUAUUUUUCUGCUCUGCGAUUUGGUUUGCAUGGUUCUAGGCUCCCAGUCUACCGCUUUUGUUGCUGUGAUUUCGAGCUCUGUUUUCUUUAUUAUGACAAGUUGCAAAAUUAGUAGUGGGAAGUAAACUUUUGUUAACUUGUUGGCUGAACGAAUGGAACUACUGUUAUACUUGAUUUGUUGCUCAACUAGUGCUGCAAUGAUGGAACCGAUGAUUGUGCAUGAUGCAUCCAUCCAUUCUAUCGGAGAGGCUGUGUUUUUUUCUUCUUGUGCUAAGAUUGCCAGCAUCACAUAUCCUAUGCUUUUGUUUCUCCAGUAGAGCCUUGUGAGAUUUAUGUGUCUGCCACCGUCCUCGAAUGGUUGUUCAAUAAUAAUGGUCCUAGCUAAUUACUAGUAUGCGCUGCUGCUAAAACAACUUGCCCCUCGUUUGAUUUCAAGGAUGUUGUUGCUGCUAAAGUAGCAACAACAACGACAACAACCAUGCUUUGGUUCCCCAAAAUUCAGAUUGCACUUGCAUCUCUACAUACACACACAUAUGAACAUGCACCUCGGUUUGGUUCAGUUUGCAUAUUUACAUUUGCUUUAACUUUGACUGAAACUAUCUUGGUGACACUUGCAUCAAUGGUGUGUUCUGCCCUUGUAGAUGUCCUUGGAGAAGAUGGCCAUUGGAGUGUAGGGGAGAAACAACCUUGUCCUGCUCGAGGAGGAGGAGGACCACCCGAGCUCGACGACGACAUGGCAACAGGUAGCACUCGCCUCUCUCCCAAGGUGAAGGUCUGGUCCGCCUGUUUAGAUGGUCUGCUCUCGUCUUAUGCAUGUGAGGGGAGAAGGAAGCCAUUGGACUGAAUUAUAUUUGCAUGUGAGGGGGGUGAUCCUUUUGGUAGAUGCAGAGUAUAGAUUCACAAAAUUCACCACAUGAGCGUACUACCUAUAUCCAAAUUCUGGAUACCACUUGCAUCUUUUGUAUGUACACAUGAAAAAGCACGACGGUUUGCUUCAGUUUGUAUGUAUCCAAUUGUUUUUUACUUUUGACUGAAACUAUCUAUCUUGGUGGCACUUGCAUCUCCUGUACAUACAUACAUAUGAAUCAGGACCACACUUUUCUUCAAUUUGUAUGUGUCAAUUUUUUUUGGUUGAACUUUGAGUGAAACCAACUGGCUGGCACCUCAAUCUGUACAUACACAUGAAUCAGCACCACCCUUGGUUCAGUUUUGUAUGUGUCCAUUUGUUUUUACUUUGACUAAAGCGAACUUGAUGACACUUGCAUCUUCUGUAUAUACAUAUAUACAUAUGAAUCAGCACCACUCUUUUUCUCUUUGAAGCUUGCCUUGAACAAGAACUGAUGCUUGAUAGAUACAACCGAAACUGGAGCAUCUCUGUAUUGUAUGUAUUAGUAGUAUUGUUCGGUUCAAGCACCAACAUGACAAGUUAUCUGCCUUUUUAGUUCUAGGUGAUUUUCUUUUGGUAAAUUUAAUGUAUAGAUUACAUAUUCAUCCUCAUAUGUAGGAUCUUCUGUUUGUUGUACUGACUGUAUGCCACCUCCAUCGUUGCAGCCUUGUCUCCCCCACCACCGCCCCUCAGCCUCCUAUAAUGUUGUUGUGGAUUCUUAGAAUGGAAAUGUUAUGUACAUAAAAAAUACACUAUGGUCUGUGUUUGCAAAUCCAUGGUUGUUGAAUCAUGUUUGUAUAAGCAUUUGUAAAUAGCUAGCCUUGUUGGCUAAUCUUUUUUUUGGUUCUGGUCAGCAACUAUGCCGACGGCAAUGCUGUAGGCAUAGAUGGCU
rnacentral:lncRNA from 1 species